ACUCCUACGGGAGGCAGCAGUAAGGAAUAUUGGUCAAUGGACGCAAGUCUGAACCAGCCAUGCCGCGUGAAGGAUGAAGGUCCUCUGGAUUGUAAACUUCUUUUAUAGGGGGCGAAAAAAGGGAAUUCUUUCUCACUUGACGGUACCUUAUGAAUAAGCACCGGCUAACUCCGUGCCAGCAGCCGCGGUAAUACGGAGGGUGCAAGCGUUAUCCGGAUUUACUGGGUUUAAAGGGUGCGCAGGCGGGCGAUUAAGUCAGUGGUGAAAUCUUCGAGCUUAACUCGGAAACUGCCGUUGAUACUAAUUGUCUUGAAUACUCGGGAGGUGAGCGGAAUAUGUCAUGUAGCGGUGAAAUGCUUAGAUAUGACAUAGAACACCGAUUGCGAAGGCAGCUCACUACAGAGAUAUUGACGCUGAGGCACGAAAGCGUGGGGAUCAAACAGGAUUAGAUACCCUGGUAGUC
rnacentral:rRNA from 1 species